GACGAACGCUGGCGGCGUGCCUAAUACAUGCAAGUCGAACGAGAGCGACCGGUGCUUGCACUGGUCAAUCUAGUGGCGAACGGGUGAGUAACACGUGGGUAACCUGCCCAUCAGAGGGGGAUAACAUCCGGAAACGGAUGCUAAAACCGCAUAGGUCCUUUAACCGCAUGGUUGAAGGAGGAAAAGAGGCGCAAGCUUCUGCUGAUGGAUGGACCCGCGGUGCAUUAGCUAGUUGGUGAGGUAACGGCUCACCAAGGCCGUGAUGCAUAGCCGACCUGAGAGGGUGAUCGGCCACAUUGGGACUGAGACACGGCCCAAACUCCUACGGGAGGCAGCAGUAGGGAAUCUUCCGCAAUGGACGCAAGUCUGACGGAGCAACGCCGCGUGAGUGAAGAAGGUUUUCGGAU
rnacentral:rRNA from 1 species